rnacentral:rRNA from 1 species
UCAUAUUCUAGUAUGAGAAAUUAACGAUUUAAGUCCUUCUUAAAUGAGGCCAUUUACCCAUAGAGGGUGCCAGGCCCGUAUAACGUUAAUGAUUACUAGAUGAUGUUUCCAAAGAGUCGUGUUGCUUGAUAGUGCAGCACUAAGUGGGUGGUAAACUCCAUCUAAAACUAAAUAUAACCAUGAGACCGAUAGUAAACAAGUACCGUGAGGGAAAGUUGAAAAGAACUCUGAAUAGAGAGUUAAACAGUACGUGAAACUGCUUAGAGGUUAAGCCCGAUGAACCUGAAUAUCCGUUAUGGAAAAUUCAUCAUUAAAAUUGUAAUAUUUAAAUAAUAUUAUGAGGAUAGUGUGCAUUUUUUCCAUAUAAGGACAUUGUAAUCUAUUAGCAUAUCCCAAAUUUAUCAUAAAAUAUAACUUAUAGUUUAUUCAAAUUAAAGUGCUUGCAUUUUAACACAGAAUAAAUGUUAUUAAUUUGAUAAAGUGCUGAUAGAUUUAUAUGAUUACAGUGCGUUAAUUUUUCGGAAUUAUAUAAUGGCAUAAUUAUCAUUGAUUUUUAUGUUUAUUAUAUGCACUUGUAUGAUUAACAAUGCGAAAGAUUCAGGAUACCUUCGGGACCCGU